rnacentral:rRNA from 1 species
AUUCCAGCUCCAAUAGCGUAUAUUAAAGUUGUUGCAGUUAAAAAGCUCGUAGUUGGAUUUCUGGUGGGAGCGUUGGGUCGGCCCUAAGGGCUCGUACUCAAAUGUUUUCCGCCAUCCUUGGAGGGAUGUUGUCUGGCAUUAAGUUGUCGGGCUUCCGAUCUCCAUCGUUUACUGUGAAAAAAUUAGAGUGUUCAAAGCAGGCUUACGCCGUUGAAUACAUUAGCAUGGAAUAAUAAGAUAGGACCCUGGUACUAUUUUGUUGGUUUGCGUACCUAGGUAAUGAUUAAUAGGGACAGUCGGGGGCAUUUGUAUUCAAACGACAGAGGUGAAAUUCUUGGACCGUUUGAAGACAAACUACUGCGAAAGCAUUUGCCAAGAAUGUUUUCGUCA